rnacentral:rRNA from 1 species
UAAUACGUAGGGUGCAAGCGUUAUCCGGAAUCAUUGGGCGUAAAGAGUUCGUAGGUGGUUUGGAAAGUUUGUAGUUAAAUCUGGUCGCUCAACGAUCAACUCGCUACAAAAACUCCCAAGCUAGAGAUUGGCAGAGGCAACUGGAAUUCCACAUGUAGGGGUAAAAUCCGUUGAUAUGUGGAGGAACACCAAAAGCGAAGGCAGGUUGCUGGGCCAUUUCUGACACUGAGGAACGAAAGCGUGGGGAGCAAACAGG